rnacentral:rRNA from 1 species
GAUGAACGCUGGCGGCGUGCCUAAUACAUGCAAGUCGAGCGAACAGACGAGGAGCUUGCUCCUCUGACGUUAGCGGCGGACGGGUGAGUAACACGUGGAUAACCUACCUAUAAGACUGGGAUAACUUCGGGAAACCGUAGCUAAUACCGGAUAAUAUAUUGAACCGCAUGGUUCAAUAGUGAAAGACGGUUUUGCUGUCACUUAUAGAUGGAUCCGCGCCGCAUUAGCUAGUUGGUAAGGUAACGGCUUACCAAGGCAACGAUGCGUAGCCGACCUGAGGGGGUGAUCGGCCACACUGGAACUGAGACACGGCCCAGACUCCUACGGGAGGCAGCAGUAGGGAAUCUUCCGCAAUGGGCGAAAGCUUGACGGAGCAACGCCGCGUGAGUGAUGAAGGUCUUCGGAUCGUAAAACUCUGUUAUUAGGGAAGAACAAAUGUGUAAGUAACUAUGCACGUCUUGACGGUACCUAAUCAGAAAGCCACGGCUAACUACGUG